GGACUACCGGGGUAUCUAAUCCCAUUCGCUCCCCUGGCUUUCGUUCCUCAGCGUCAGUUAUAGCCCAGCAAGCCGCUUACGCCACUGGUGUUCUUCCCAAUAUCUACGCAUUUCACCGCUACACUGGGAAUUCCGCUUGCCUCUACUACACUCCAGUCUGCCAGUAUCCAAUGCACUCCCGGGGUUGAGCCCCGAUCUUUAACAUCAGACUUAACAAACCACCUACGAACUCUUUACGCCCAAUAAAUCCGGACAACGCUCGCAUCCUACGUCUUACCGCGGCUGCUGGCAC
rnacentral:rRNA from 1 species